rnacentral:ncRNA from 2 species
GAAUAUUUUACUGCUCAAUGUCAAGGGAACACCGGUGAGAUUCCGGGGCUGCCCAGCAACCGUGAGCGGGGACGAAAGCCACAUCAAAAGCCACUGGCUCAUGCCGGGAAGGCGUGGUAAGUAGGAGGAUCCGCAAGCCGGGAGACCUGCUUUGAGUAGAGUUUUUUC